UGUAUAAUGGGUCAGCGACUUAUAUUCUGUAGCAAGGUUAACCGAAUAGGGGAGCCGAAGGGAAACCGAGUCUUAACUGGGCGUUAAGUUGCAGGGUAUAGACCCGAAACCCGGUGAUCUAGCCAUGGGCAGGUUGAAGGUUGGGUAACACUAACUGGAGGACCGAACCGACUAAUGUUGAAAAAUUAGCGGAUGACUUGUGGCUGGGGGUGAAAGGCCAAUCAAACCGGGAGAUAGCUGGUUCUCCCCGAAAGCUAUUUAGGUAGCGCCUCGUGAAUUCAUCUCCGGGGGUAGAGCACUGUUUCGGCAAGGGGGUCAUCCCGACUUACCAACCCGAUGCAAACUGCGAAUACCGGAGAAUGUUAUCACGGGAGACACACGGCGGGUGCUAACGUCCGUCGUGAAGAGGGAAACAACCCAGACCGCCAGCUAAGGUCCCAAAGUCAUGGUUAAGUGGGAAACGAUGUGGGAAGGCCCAGACAGCCAGGAUGUUGGCUUAGAAGCAGCCAUCAUUUAAAGAAAGCGUAAUAGCUCACUGGUCGAGUCGGCCUGCGCGGAAGAUGUAACGGGGCUAAACCAUGCACCGAAGCUGCGGCAGCGACGCUUAUGCGUUGUUGGGUAGGGGAGCGUUCUGUAAGCCUGUGAAGGUGUGCUGUGAGGCAUGCUGGAGGUAUCAGAAGUGCGAAUGCUGACAUAAGUAACGAUAAAGCGGGUGAAAAGCCCGCUCGCCGGAAGACCAAGGGUUCCUGUCCAACGUUAAUCGGGGCAGGGUGAGUCGACCCCUAAGGCGAGGCCGAAAGGCGUAGUCGAUGGGAAACAGGUUAAUAUUCCUGUACUUGGUGUUACUGCGAAGGGGGGACGGAGAAGGCUAUGUUGGCCGGGCGACGGUUGUCCCGGUUUAAGCGUGUAGGCUGGUUUUCCAGGCAAAUCCGGAAAAUCAAGGCUGAGGCGUGAUGACGAGGCACUACGGUGCUGAAGCAACAAAUGCCCUGCUUCCAGGAAAAGCCUCUAAGCAUCAGGUAACAUCAAAUCGUACCCCAAACCGACACAGGUGGUCAGGUAGAGAAUACCAAGGCGCUUGAGAGAACUCGGGUGAAGGAACUAGGCAAAAUGGUGCCGUAACUUCGGGAGAAGGCACGCUGAUAUGUAGGUGAAGCGACUUGCUCGUGGAGCUGAAAUCAGUCGAAGAUACCAGCUGGCUGCAACUGUUUAUUAAAAACACAGCACUGUGCAAACACGAAAGUGGACGUAUACGGUGUGACGCCUGCCCGGUGCCGGAAGGUUAAUUGAUGGGGUUAGCGCAAGCGAAGCUCUUGAUCGAAGCCCCGGUAAACGGCGGCCGUAACUAUAACGGUCCUAAGGUAGCGAAAUUCCUUGUCGGGUAAGUUCCGACCUGCACGAAUGGCGUAAUGAUGGCCAGGCUGUCUCCACCCGAGACUCAGUGAAAUUGAACUCGCUGUGAAGAUGCAGUGUACCCGCGGCAAGACGGAAAGACCCCGUGAACCUUUACUAUAGCUUGACACUGAACAUUGAGCCUUGAUGUGUAGGAUAGGUGGGAGGCUUUGAAGUGUGGACGCCAGUCUGCAUGGAGCCGACCUUGAAAUACCACCCUUUAAUGUUUGAUGUUCUAACGUUGACCCGUAAUCCGGGUUGCGGACAGUGUCUGGUGGGUAGUUUGACUGGGGCGGUCUCCUCCUAAAGAGUAACGGAGGAGCACGAAGGUUGGCUAAUCCUGGUCGGACAUCAGGAGGUUAGUGCAAUGGCAUAAGCCAGCUUGACUGCGAGCGUGACGGCGCGAGCAGGUGCGAAAGCAGGUCAUAGUGAUCCGGUGGUUCUGAAUGGAAGGGCCAUCGCUCAACGGAUAAAAGGUACUCCGGGGAUAACAGGCUGAUACCGCCCAAGAGUUCAUAUCGACGGCGGUGUUUGGCACCUCGAUGUCGGCUCAUCACAUCCUGGGGCUGAAGUAGGUCCCAAGGGUAUGGCUGUUCGCCAUUUAAAGUGGUACGCGAGCUGGGUUUAGAACGUCGUGAGACAGUUCGGUCCCUAUCUGCCGUGGGCGCUGGAGAACUGAGGGGGGCUGCUCCUAGUACGAGAGGACCGGAGUGGACGCAUCACUGGUGUUCGGGUUGUCAUGCCAAUGGCACUGCCCGGUAGCUAAAUGCGGAAGAGAUAAGUGCUGAAAGCAUCUAAGCACGAAACUUGCC
rnacentral:rRNA from 1 species